GGUAAAGUGAUUUUUUUAAAAAGGAAUUUAAAAGUAUAUUUUAAAGUAUAUAUUUUAUAUGCUUUAAUAAUAAUAACAAUUUUAAAAUAUCAAUUUUUUAAAAUAUAAUGUUUAAAUUUUAAAUUAUGAGAAUUAAGUUGAAAUUGUAUCAAUUAAUUUUCAUGUUAUAUAUAUAUGGCUUAUUUUAAAAAUAUCUUUUAAGGUAUCAUAUAUUUUAUUUGGAGAUUUUAUAAAUUUAAAAUGAAAAUUUAGUUUUUUUUGUAGUAUGCAUAGAAAAUUAUGUAGAUAAUUUUAGGGGUAGCAAUUCUUAAAAAUUGAUUUGUUAUUUAAGAGCAUUCAAAACAUAAAAGGGAUUUGUCUUUUAUAGUUGUUAGGUAUUUGCAAAAUGAUAUUUACCACAUUUAAGUUUACCUUUUUGCUUUUUGAAUAUAAGGUCAAUUGUGAAUAUUGUGAGAUAUUUAUUUUUUCUUAUGAUACUUUUUAAUAAAAGUAUUUAAAAAUAAAAGUAUUUAAAUGUAAAAAUGAAAAGGAAUAUAGUAGUAAUAUAUUUUAUACUAGGCAAAAAAAAAUAAUACUUAUAGUAAGAUUUUUUAAAUAAGGUAGAGUUUUAUAAAAUUUUUAUAGCAAAACUUUAUAUUAACCAAGGUAAUAUAGUGUUUUAUUUAUAAUUAUAAAAAACAUAUUACAAAGUUCUUAAAGUAUAUAUACAAUGCUAUUAAUACUUUCUAUAACUCAAAACAUAAUAAUAAAAAAAAUUAAAUGAGUAUGAUAAUUAAUUUAUAUAUAUAAAUAUACUUAACCGAAAUUUUUUCUUGAUUUUAUAAAUUCAAUAAAAAGAGAAAAAAAUUUAAGCUUUAUGAAUUUCUCAUAUUAAAUAAUAUAUAAUAUAUAAAUUAAAAAUAAGAAAAAUCAUUAUAGGCUCUCAACGCCAUGCCCAUUAAAUUUGCUUGCCCAAUGUUCUACCAGGAUCAUUGAACUCGCAAUUAAUGAAUCAUUAUUUUAAAAUAAUAAAAUUUACAGAUAAUAUAAUUGAAAAAUAUUUACAGAUAAUAUAAUUGAAAAAUUCAAUUCAUAUAUUAUAUUGUGGUACAAAUCAUAAUGAAAUUAUUUUGGAAAAAUUCUUUUUUUAUAAAUUUAUAAAAUGUUCCAAGUAUUCAUUAAUUUGUUAUAUAUUUUAACUUUUUGUAUAAUAUAAAUUUAUUUAUAUAGUCAAAAUGAUUUUAAAAAAUUUUUUGAUGAUUAUGUAAAUAUUAUAUUGAAUUAUUUAUUUAAUGAUAAAAAAUGGUUACUAAAAUUUUAAUAGUGAACAUAUAUAUAUAUAUACAUUGAAUAACUAUUUUAAACGUUCAUUUUUUGAGAUAAAUAUUUUUAUAAAAAUAAUAAUGUAUGGAGAAAAAUUCUCUAAAAACAUAUUCUAUUAUUUUUAUUAUUAUAUUACAUAGUACAUAAGCAUAAUUCAAUUAAGUUUAUAAAACGUAACUCCAAUAAAUCUUUUUUUUUUAACUUUUCUAGAUGAAGUAAUUUUUACUAAUAUUGUUGACGAUAUUACUAAAUAAUUCUUGUGCGCGUUGCUCACUUUAUUAUGUUUCAUAACAUAAAAUUAUAAUUGAAUAGGUUCAAAAUUCAUCUUAUUGACCAUU